UAUACAGCCAAGAAGGUGGAUCGGUUAGCUGCAGCACUUCAUAUGUAUCACAAGAAAACGCUUAUGUCUAGUUUAGCAUCGUUGUGUCUGAAUAUUCACGACACGCCAAUCGGUCAAUGAAGGGCAAAUAAGUCAGGAGUAUUUUAUUACUAGAGCAGCUUUAUCAUAACGUGUGAUUUUAUGCCAUGAAGAGUGGCUAAUUACGCAAACUGAAACUGCAAAAAUAAGAUUGCAACGGCAAGGACAUGUUCUGAUAAAAUAUCGCCUACGUCACACAAUGAACCGGAGGCCAUUUGGCAUCAUAUGUAAAUAAUCUUUGAAACACAGUUCGUGAAGUCUUACCAAAACUGCGAUUUGGCAAUUUUCCAGUAUAGCUGCACUGAUAUAAUUAUCCCUGUUCUCUCCUUGCUACUCACUGAUUACGAUUUGGUUCACUGCUCACAAAACUUCCACAGUCAUCUUUCAAGUGCACGACUUACUAAAUGCUACACCAUCGUCAUGUGAAGUAAAUAAACGAUUUUACGUCUUCUGUCCUUACGUCUCCAGGUGGCUUCAUUGUGUCUGAAAAUGGUUUACUCGUAUGGAGAACAAGAGCCACUAGAAGAUACGUGAAACAGAUUAUCAAAGAACUAAUGGAUAUGUGAUUUGAGUUGGUGUGCACCAAAAUGGCAACAGACUAGGAGAAGGCACAAUGAUUUAUCUGGUAUCAACGACGGUAUGGGAUGGCACCACCAUAAUAAACAAGCAUAAUGAGAUGAUUCAAAAACUUAAAAAUGAAAGGCAGUGCCACAAACCUCCUCCAAAGUGAUGUCUGCUUGGGCCUAAAUCAAAUGUUGACCAAGUGCAGACAGCAUUUUAACAUAGCCCCCAGCAGUCAAUUCGUCGAAGAUAACAUGAAUUGCAGGGAUUGAGAUCAACUGUACAUAGUGUUACAUAAGUGAUUGUGCCUUUUACAUGCAAAGUGAAAAUUGUCCAAGCAUUACAGCCAAAUAAUCAUUUUCUGUGGCAUUCA